AACAAGAAAUGUAUCUACUGGCAUUUUCAAUAGAAAGGUUUGCAAAUACUGAGGAGAGGGCAAUUGGACGGUAAGAAGAAACAUCUGAAGCUGGUUUGGUGGGCUUUAAAAUAGGAAUUACUAUCUGAGAUCUCCAAGAAUCAGGGAUUUUACCAGACUGAAUGACCGUAUUUACUAUGUUAAGAUAGUAAGCAAGAAUACCUUCACUGGCAUUUGCUAAGAAGGAAUAAGGAACACCAUCUUCCCCAGCGUCCUUGCGGUUUCUGAUUGCUUGAGAACAAUCAUCAUCCCACCAAGGCGGAGAAGGUAUUUUACCAGAUGCACUGUUUUUAAUUGGAAAUGUUUCAUCAGCUACUUCAGACAUUGUCUGAGCUAAAGCAACUGAGCAAUUAACUACAUUACUAUCAUCUAUAGAGGGUAAACACAACAAUUUCUUCUCUACCCGGGAUUUAAAAAGUGUCCAAUCUACAUUAGUUAAGUUAUACUUAAGCCUAG